UAGCCCUCGAGGCGUUGCUGAAACGAUUUUGAUAGCAGAUACGCCACAGGAGAUGUCGUGUAUAUGGCUGACGUGUUCUUAGCCCCACAGAUAGUUGUAGCUACCACAAGGUUUAAUAUUAACAUGUCCAAGUUCCCCACUUUAAGUAGGCUGCAUGAAUCACACAAGAUUUUACCAGAAUUCGAAGCUUCAUUACCAGAAAGGCAACCUGAUGCUGUGCAUUAAGUCUUGAACUUCACCGCCAUAUUACUAGCAGCAGGUUGAUAUUUAUUGCUUUAUCUAUACUGGCAUUUGUGUUAUCAUACCAAAAUAAAAUCAAACUUGAAA